rfam:TPA: Bos taurus chromosome 28, whole genome shotgun sequence.
UCCUUGGUAGUCCUGUGGUUAGGACUCUGUGCUUCCAUGGCAGGGGGCCUGGGUUCAAACCCUGGUCAGGGAA